rnacentral:lncRNA from 1 species
UGCGAUCUCAUUAUGUGCCUGCUCCACCUUAACUCUUGCAAUCUCAGUAUCAAAACCUCUGUCAGAUACUUACAAGAGCUCUUUAUUUAGAUAAGGCAGGUCAUUUUUCAUGAAGACAACAUCCAUGUUGAUGACUAUCUUCUGCUUCCCUUUCUCAAUACACCAAAGCCUGUAGCCUUGCACUCCCUUCUGGUACCCUAGCAUAACACAUUUUAAGGCUCUUG